GGAGCGCCAUGGAAUGAGGUUUCGGCCAAAGGAAAUGGUUGCUUAGUGGCGGACUGGUGAGUAACGCGUGAGGAACCUGCCUUUCAGAGGGGGACAACAGUUGGAAACGACUGCUAAUACCGCAUGACGCAUGACCGGGGCAUCCCGGACAUGCCAAAGAUUUAUCGCUGAAAGAUGGCCUCGCGUCCGAUUAGAUAGUUGGCGGGGUAACGGCCCACCAAGUCGACGAUCGGUAGCCGGACUGAGAGGUUGGCCGGCCACAUUGGGACUGAGAUACGGCCCAGACUCCUACGGGAGGCAGCAGUGGGGAAUAUUGGGCAAUGGACGCAAGUCUGACCCAGCAACGCCGCGUGAAGGAAGAAGGCUUUCGGGUUGUAAACUUCUUUGACAGGGGAAGAGUAGAAGACGGUACCCUGAAAACAAGCCACGGCUAACUACGUGCCAGCAGCCGCGGUAAUACGUAGGUGGCAAGCGUUGUCCGGAUUUACUGGGUGUAAAGGGCGUGAAGCCGGGCCGACAAGUCAGAUGUGAAAUCCCGAGGCUUAACCUCGGAACUGCAUUUGAAACUGUUGGUCUUGAGUAUCGGAGAGGUCAUCGGAAUUCCUUGUGUAGCGGUGAAAUGCGUAGAUAUAAGGAAGAACACCAGUGGCGAAGGCGGAUGACUGGACGACAACUGACGGUGAGGCGCGAAAGCGUGGGGAGCGAACAGGAUUAGAUACCCUGGUAGUCCACGCUGUAAACGAUGGAUACUAGGUGUGCGGGGACUGACCCCCUGCGUGCCGCAGUUAACACAAUAAG
rnacentral:rRNA from 1 species